UGCCAGCAGCCGCGGUAAUACGAAGGGUGCAAGCGUUGUUCGGAAUUACUGGGCGUAAAGGGCGUGUAGGCGGCUCGAUUAGUUAGAUGUGAAAGCCCAGGGCUCAACCUUGGAACAGCAUUUAAUACUGUCGAGCUAGAAUCCAGGAGGGGACAGUGGAAUUCCGAGUGUAGAGGUGAAAUUCGUAGAUAUUCGGAAGAACACCAGUGGCGAAGGCGACUGUCUGGACUGGUAUUGACGCUGAGGCGCGAAAGCGUGGGGAGCAAACAGGAUUAGAUA
rnacentral:rRNA from 1 species